UACGGAGGGUGCAAGCGUUAAUCGGAAUUACUGGGCGUAAAGCGUGCGCAGGCGGUUUGUUAAGUCCGUUGUGAAAGCCCCGAGCUCAACUUGGGAAUUGCAGUGGAUACUGGCAGGCUGGAGUACGGUAGAGGAAGGUGGAAUUCCCGGUGUAGCAGUGAAAUGCGUAGAUAUCGGGAGGAACACCAGUGGCGAAGGCGGCCUUCUGGACCAGUUACUGACGCUCAUGCACGAAAGCGUGGGGAGCAAACAGG
rnacentral:rRNA from 1 species